rnacentral:lncRNA from 1 species
GCGAGAUAUUCCAGUCAGUGUGCACAUGUCCCGUGACAUCUCCUGCUCCAUGAUAGGACGUUGCUAAUGGAAACAUAUCUGUGGGGAGUGAUUAGUGAAAACUCCAAAAGCCAGAUCUGCAGCACACAGGAAACAAAGUGAGCACAUCUGUGCAUGCUAACAGUCGACCGAAAGGACAAAUCAUUUUAUUUGAGGACUUCGAUCACUGCACUCCGAGUGGAGCUGAGUUGUUGACACACACGACAGAAAAUAAAUGGUAACACUUGAAG